GAUGAACGCUGACAGAAUGCUUAACACAUGCAAGUCUACUUAAACUUCGGUUUGGGUGGCGGACGGGUGAGUAACGCGUAAAGAACUUGCCUCACAGUUAGGGACAACAUUUGGAAACGAAUGCUAAUACCUGAUAUUAUGAUUUUAGGGCAUCCUAAGAUUAUGAAAGCUAUAUGCGCUGUGAGAGAGCUUUGCGUCCCAUUAGCUAGUUGGAGAGGUAACGGCUCACCAAGGCGAUGAUGGGUAGCCGGCCUGAGAGGGUGAACGGCCACAAGGGGACUGAGACACGGCCCUUACUCCUACGGGAGGCAGCAGUGGGGAAUAUUGGACAAUGGACCAAAAGUCUGAUCCAGCAAUUCUGUGUGCACGAUGACGUUUUUCGGAAUGUAAAGUGCUUUCAGUUGGGAAGAAAAAAAUGACGGUACCAACAGAAGAAGUGACGGCUAAAUACGUGCCAGCAGCCGCGGUAAUACGUAUGUCACAAGCGUUAUCCGGAUUUAUUGGGCGUAAAGCGCGUCUAGGUGGUUAUGUAAGUCUGAUGUGAAAAUGCAGGGCUCAACUCUGUAUUGCGUUGGAAACUGCAUGACUAGAGUACUGGAGAGGUAAGCGGAACUACAAGUGUAGAGGUGAAAUUCGUAGAUAUUUGUAGGAAUGCCGAUGGGGAAGCCAGCUUACUGGACAGAUACUGACGCUAAAGCGCGAAAGCGUGGGUAGCAAACAGG
rnacentral:rRNA from 1 species